rnacentral:rRNA from 1 species
UACGUAGGGGACAAGCGUUGUCCGGAAUUACUGGGCGUAAAGCGCGUGUAGGCGGCUAAGUAAGUCGGGCGUGAAAUCCCACGGCUCAACCGUGGAAGUGCACUCGAAACUGCAUAGCUAGAGUCCUGGAGAGGAAGGUGGAAUGCUUGGUGUAGAGGUGAAAUUCGUAGAUAUCAAGCGGAACACCGGUGGCGAAGGCGGCCUUCUGGACAGUGACUGACGCUGAGACGCGAAAGCGUGGGGAGCAAACAGG